rnacentral:rRNA from 1 species
UACAGAGGGUGCGAGCGUUAAUCGGAAUUACUGGGCGUAAAGGGCGCGUAGGCGGUCUUGUAAGUUGGAUGUGAAAUCCCUGGGCUUAACCUGGGAACUGCAUUCAAGACUGCUUGACUAGAGUUUGGUAGAGGGUAGUGGAAUUCCCGGUGUAGCGGUGAAAUGCGUAGAUAUGUGGAGGAACACCAGUGGCGAAGGCGGCUUCCUGGACUAAAACUGACACUGAGGCACGAGAGCGUGGGUAGCAAACAGG